rnacentral:tRNA from 1 species
GCCCGUCUAGCUCAGUUGGUAGAGCCCAAGGCUUGUGGGUUCGAGUCCCACGGUGGGCG